rnacentral:lncRNA from 1 species
AGAAAGAUAAUGAAAUACGAGUUAUAUUUAUUUUGAAUUAAAAAAAUUGCAAAUAUUGAAAUUACAUACCUAUUGUCACAUUUUAAACAUCUUUGUGACUUUACCAAUAAGAAAAACUAUCAAAUUAUAGUUUCAUCUACCAAAUAUUUAAAUGUUUCAUCUACCAACACAAGUUCAUGACUAACAACCAAUUCACUGAAACUCUUGAAAUUCAUGUCUUCCUUGAACAUAUGGUUACAUGCUUCUGGCUCAUGGGUUAUUUGUCUGUUCAAAAACACAUCAAAGUUUUGAGAUAAAUCAACAGCAAAAAUCUGGAAUUCCUCUUUUAAACACUGCAGAUCUUUUGCAUCAGUUAGCUUUUUUUAUAUGUUCUUUUUCUUCUUUUCAACAGAAUCAACUGAAUAUAAAACUUAAAACUUUGCUUUGCUUUUCUUUCUUUGAUCAAAAUAAAUAUAAAACUUGCAUCCAAUUUUCAACCAGGUAAUACACGAGCCAGAUAUGACUAAAGUUGCAUGUAAGAAACAAGUGUAAAAAAAGAAGCCUAUAGGACAUGUGGAGAAACUGCAUAUCCAUCAGCAUACUGAGCAAAUUAAGACCAAUCUGGAGGAGUUUUUAAAUGUUAAAUUAAAUAUACAAAACCUCUCUAAAGCACUGAGGUAAUCAUUAAACUUGAUCUGUAUACUUACUUUACGCAAAUUAAAAAGAAAUGAAUUUUAAUAUUCAAUAUAACUCGGCCUAAGAUUAGUAUCUAUUAUUCUGCAUCCAUGAGGAAAAACGCUAAGCCUAAGGAAAUUGUAAAAAGACUGGAAAGUCCGAUUCUAAAUACUAUAUAAGACUGUUUAUAACAGCAGCAGCAAAACUUUUUAUAACAAUUUUAAGCAGAUAUCAAACUGUUCAUGGAUUAACACAGUUUCUCAACAUUGUUUUAGGCAAAAAUGGCCAACAAAUUCAUAGUAGUCUUUACAUCACUGGAAGAUCAUAUGAAGUUAGAAAUUGAAAAUAUUUAACCAAAAAAAUAUUCAUGUCACAUAUAAAGACUGUAGUUCUACGAGUGUAAGAAUAUCAUCAUAGAUUUAGAUGUGAGUAUCAAAAACUGAGUAUGAGCAUGACAUUGGUAUGUAUGUGUGUGUGUCUAUAUCUAAUGCAAGAGACUAAACAUCAACAAUUCGAAAAAAACAACUUUCAACUUUAUCUACCUAAACAAACUAGAAA